rnacentral:tRNA from 1 species
UGUCGCGUGGUGUAGCGGUCAACACGUCGGUCUCAUAAACCGAAGACCACAGGUUCGAUUCCUGUCGCGGCAC